rnacentral:rRNA from 1 species
UACAGGGGGGGGCAAGCGUUGUUCGGAAUUACUGGGCGUAAAGGGCUCGUAGGUGGCCGACUAAGUCAGACGUGAAAUCCCCCAGCUUAACUGGGGGAACUGCGUCUGAUACUGGAUGGCUUGAGUUUGGGAGAGGGAUGCGGAAUUCCAGGUGUAGCGGUGGAAUGCGUAGAGAUCCGGAGGAACACCAGCGGCGAAGGCGGCAUCCUGGACUGGUCCUGACACUCAGGAGCGAAAGCGUGGGGAGCGAUCCGG